ACAAAUCUCAGUUUUCAUGACUGCGUCACCAUCAUCAAAAUUUAUGUAAAAUUAAGUAGUGAGUAAAAUUUUAGUAAUGAAUAAGCUUAGUGAGUUAGAACUAAACAUUUACUCCGCCAUGUACGACCGGAUAUGUUCACUAAACAGUUACCAAGCGCCUGGGCGAGAACAUGUAGUGUUGUUUCUUGGGCUGUCUUCCACCAUGGUUAGGUACUUAAGGCGCAAAGUUCUCUGAUACUAAACGCUAUUUUGACUGCGGAGACGACUGAAGAUGGUACUCUGACCGCCCAAGACUUUCUUAAACUGAUGACGUCAGUAACUGGAAUCCUCAGUCCUUGGGAGCGUCUGGCGCUCCUUCACGUCGGCAUUAGUGACCUCGUGGUUGUGGGGAGGUCAGAGGAGUCGCAAUGAGCUGAGAUGAGUCGCUUACGUUUUAUUUAUUUCCACAACAAUUGGUUGCUUUAAUAAACAAGUAAUAUGUUAUUCUUAAUCGAAGAUAAAAACCUUUUGAUCAUA